CUACGUGCCAGCAGCCGCGGUAAUACGUAGGUGGCAAGCGUUGUCCGGAAUUAUUGGGCGUAAAGCGCGCGCAGGCGGAUUGGUCAGUCUGUCUUAAAAGUUCGGGGCUUAACCCCGUGAUGGGAUGGAAACUGCCAAUCUAGAGUAUCGGAGAGGAAAGUGGAAUUCCUAGUGUAGCGGUGAAAUGCGUAGAUAUUAGGAAGAACACCAGUGGCGAAGGCGACUUUCUGGACGAAAACUGACGCUGAGGCGCGAAAGCCAGGGGAGCGAACGGGAUUAGAUACCCCGGUAGUCCUGGCCGUAAACGAUGGGUACUAGGUGUAGGAGGUAUCGACCCCUUCUGUGCCGGAGUUAACGCAAUAAGUACCCCGCCUGGGGAGUACGACCGCAAGGUUAAAACUCAAAUGAAUUGACGGGGGCCCGCACAAGCGGUGGAGCAUGUGGUUUAAUUCGAUGCAACGCGAAGAACCUUACCUACUCUUGACAUCCAGA
rnacentral:rRNA from 1 species